AGAGCCCUGCGAUGUGCGUGUUUACUCGCAAGUUUUGAGCCAACACCUUAACCCAGGGAGUCCGGACGUCGCAGCCGGGAGUGGAAGCCUCGCUGGAGUGGACCCAUGAACGGUUGCGCAGGACACCCACCUGCCUUGAGCAGGUUCAAAACGGAGGAGUCACGGCAUAACGGGGCUCUU
rnacentral:other from 1 species